UGGCCUGGUUUCCUGCAGGGUGAGCUCAGCCAAGUACCACCCCUCAGUAAGCCUAGAGUAGAGGGGCCUGGCAUCCUUUCCUUAAAUUAAGCAAGGAGCCUUAUCCAGGUUGUCCUAGUCUCGUAUUU
ensembl:scaRNA